UACGUAGGGUGCGAGCGUUAAUCGGAAUUACUGGGCGUAAAGCGUGCGCAGGCGGUUCGUUGUGUCGGUGGUGAAAGCCCCGGGCUUAACCCUGGGAAUGGCCAUGGAAACUGGCGAACUGGAGUGUGGCAGAGGGGGGUGGAAUUCCGCGUGUAGCAGUGAAAUGCGUAGAGAUGCGGAGGAACACCGAUGGCGAAGGCAGCCCCCCUGGGCUAGCACUGACGCUCAGGCACGAAAGCGUGGGGAGCAAACAGG
rnacentral:rRNA from 1 species